rnacentral:rRNA from 1 species
UACGGAGGGUGCAAGCGUUAAUCGGAAUUACUGGGCGUAAAGCGUGCGCAGGCGUUUGUUAAGUCUGCUGUGAAAUCCCCGAGCUCAACUUGGGAAUUGCAGUGGAUACUGGCAGGCUGGAGUAUGGUAGAGGAAGGUGGAAUUCCCGGUGUAGCAGUGAAAUGCGUAGAGAUCGGGAGGAACACCAGUGGCGAAGGCGGCCUUCUCGGACCAAUAC